AGUCAAGCUGUUACUGAAGAAUUUGCCAAAUCUGUUUGUGUUGCUAACCCAGUGGCUCAAAUUUUGGGAAAGUACGGACCACUUGCAACCUCUUUCAAAAGAAAACAAUACUACAAACUAAAUUUUAAAGUUGUAGAGCCUUCAGAGUAUUUUCUGUCUGUACAUCAAAGGAGAUCAUUUCAGUAUAUUUCAAUACUAGAGUUAUUGCAGGAAAUAUUAAGUCAUAGUCACAUACUGAAUAGAGUGAUUAAGGAACAAACAGCUAAAGAAAAUUCAGAGGAUUCUUGUGGUGGUCAAAGUGUGUACAGGUCUUUUCGAGACGGCAAGCAUUACACUACUAAUGACUUCCUAGUUGCUCAAGAACUGAGGAUAUUAAUUUCACUCUACAUUGAUGAAUUUGAGGUUUGCAACCCACUUGGGACCUCACGCAAAAAGCAUAAACUUUGUGGUGUAUAUUGGGUGUUAGACAAUUUACCACCAGGCUCGCAUUCUGCUCUUUCAUCCAUUUAUUUAGCAGUGCUUUGUAAAAGUGAAGAUAUAAAGACUUUUGGUUUUGAAAAAGUGUUGGAUCCACUGUUGAAAGAUUUAGUAGUCUUGGAGCAACGUGGUGUGUAUAUUGCUCAGUUAAAUGAAUGUGUUAAAGGCACUGUUACUUGUGUAAUAGCUGACAACCUAGGAGCUCACGGACUUGGAGGUUUUGUAGAAAGUUUUUCUGCUGAAUACAUAUGCAGGUUUUGUAUAGCUAAAAAAUCAGAAAUUCAGUCAUUGACUGCUGGUGCAUUUGAGUGUCGAACACAGGGACUUCACAAAGCACAUUUAAAAUCUGCCCUGGAAACUGAAAGAGUGUGUUGUGGUGUUAAACGAGAUUGUGUUUUAAGUAAGAAUCUUACAAAUUUUUACGUGACUGCAGGCUAUCCCCCAGAUAUAGUACAUGAUUUGUUUGAGGGUGUUAUACCAGUGGAACUAGCUCAUUGUUUUGCUCUUUUUAUCUCAAAGAAAUAUUUCACUCUUGAGAAACUAAACCGCUUGAUCCAAGAUUUUGAGUACAAAUGGGGAGAUAAAACGAAUCGUCCUCACCAGAUACCGCAAACUUUCUCAGUAAAGAAAAGUAUAGGAGGGAAUGCCCAUGAAAACUGGACUCUGCUUCGAUUGUUGCCUUUCAUUGUUGGUCCUCUUGUUCCUGAGGUUGAACCUGCUUGGCAUGUAAUUUUGGAUCUUAAGGACAUAGUGGAGCUUGUUGUAGCCCCUGUCCUUUCUGAUGAAUCAAUAUCAUAUCUUGAGUGUAAAAUCAGUGAACAUCGCCAGAGAUACCAAGAGCUCUUUCCAAAUGUUAACCUUCUUCCUAAGCAUCAUUACUUGGAACAUUACCCUCUUAUGAUUCGCCUCUUUGGACCUCUUGUUCAUAGAUGGACAAUGAGGUUUGAGGCAAAGCAUAGUUUUUUUAAACAGGUUGCUCGCCAUACCAAUUGUUUUAAAAAUAUACCUCUUACCCUUGCCAGAAAGCAUCAGCUCAUGCUUGUGUCUCAUUUGCACUCCUCUGACCAAAAAACAUCUUUUGUGGUAACUAAUUCCUCACCAGUGCCAGUUGAUUUAUUGAAUUCUGACAUUGCAGUCAUGAUCAAGCAAAGGAUACCAAAUGAGACCGAUGCUCAUUUGACAUCACAUGUUUCAUACCAUGGAAUGAACUACAGCAAAGGAAUGAUUGUUGUUCAUGGGCAUUUAUUUGGUCUCCCUGAGUUUGCGGAAAUACUGCAGAUCUGUAUUCUGCAAGGCAAGAUUCAUUUUGUAGUGAAAAAGUUGGCUGCUUGGUACAGAGAACACUUCAGAGCUUUUGAGUUGAGUAUGUCUCAUGUAAAAGAGGUGGUUCUCAUUGAGCAUGGGGAACUCUUGGAUGACUACCCAUUAGCAGUUUAUUCAGUAGCAGGAACGCGUCUUGUCACACUGAAAAGACACAUUGAGUGGCUGGGAAAACAUAAGUAAUAUCUGUGAGUAUCUUUUCAAAAUACAUCACAUGGCAAGGUUGAUAUCAGUCAUGAUUUGCAUUAGGGCUAAUAAUGCAAAAAAUAGGCCUGGUCCGACAGCAAUCUUUUAAGCAGCCUGGGCUGGCCUUGUUUUUUU
ensembl:lncRNA